AACGGAGGGUGCAAGCGUUGUUCGGAUUUACUGGGCGUAAAGGGCGCGUAGGCGGCGUGACAAGUCACUUGUGAAAUCUCUGAGCUUAACUCAGAACGGCCAAGUGAAACUGUUGUGCUAGAGUGCAGAAGGGGCAAUCGGAAUUCUUGGUGUAGCGGUGAAAUGCGUAGAUAUCAAGAGGAACACCUGAGGUGAAGACGGGUUGCUGGGCUGACACUGACGCUGAUGCGCGAAAGCCAGGGGAGCAAACGGG
rnacentral:rRNA from 1 species